rnacentral:SRP_RNA from 1 species
CAUUCGGACAAGAUUCAUAGUAUAAUAAUUCUACCUUAAUUGGGUCGUGUGCCGUGUGGGUCCUGUGCGACAACGCUCCGUGAACCAUGUCAGGCGGGGAACCGAGCAGCAUUAAGCGGUCAGCGAGGUGCGCCGCAGAUUCACCUGCACGGUGCAUGACCGAGUUAAGGUAUUUUUUAUUGUUAGCCGGAUG